CGAGGAUGGUGCCGGGCUGGCGAAGUGCGCAGGCGUAGGGUGCGGCGAGGCUGUGCGCAGGCGCGGCCGAGAACUCCGCCCCGGAAUUGGGGCGGGGCGGGUUGCGGCUCUGGAAUGUCCGCGGCCUGGCUCCGGCGUGCGCAGGCGCAGUCAGUGGGCGUUCCGGGGGCUCGCGGGGCUUCCUAGUCGCGUCUGAGAGCCGGGGCGUUCUCCCGCGCGCAGCCGCUCCGCCCACGUCCGGACUCCGCCCCGCUGCCGGAGUUGCGCAAUCCGUAGCCGGGGAAGCUCUACGUGGAGACCGGACUGAGUGGAUGCCCAGCCCUGGAGCUGGGGAGCUAGAGGGCGGCAAUCUGAGCAGUGUGCUUGCUUGAGUGCCACAGGCCUCUGCUUGCACCGUGUCGACCCACUCAUCCAUACACACUCAGGACACGGCUGCUCCAGGGGCCCAUUGAGCCUCUCUUAUUGGAGGGAAGCCUGGAAGAGGACCUUGAAUGGGAUGCUGGACAUUCCUCAUGAGAAACCUGAGGAGGAUACUAAAGAGACAGCCACAGUUUUCCUAUGGCCUGCUGCCAAGGAGGGCCCAGCUGUUGGGGUUCUCUUUAUGCUCCUUUCCUCUAUAAGAAGAUGCGUUUCCCAAGUGGUCAUCAACCUCUGCAUUCAGUCCUUCUACUUGCUCCUUUGGAGAAGUCACUGAAUCCUGUGACUUCCAAUAAUAUCUCUGGUCCUGGCUCUGAAAGGUGUGUCUGCUGUUCCCAAGACCAGAACACCUCUGCACAGCAUGUCCAGGGGGGCACCUCUGAUGUUCCACUGGGGAAGGAUUGUGGCUGCCUGACCACAAAGGGCUGGCGAGGGGACUUGGGAGAUUGCUCACUCCUUACGAGACAGGAAUCAGCCUAACGAGACAGGGCCAUCUGCAAGGCCCCUGGCCUAACAAGAUAAGGCCCCUAACCAAUUGGCAAGCUGGGAGAAUCAGAUAGAGCCCACCAAGAUCCACAUUCUACAGCCUCUGGACGUUCCUGGGCUUAUGCAUGCUUCCUAGCACCCAGGAGUCCACUGAAGGUGACCCUAAUCUUAUUAACAUAGUAAAAAUCACACCUGGGGUGGAGAGUUAGCACACUAAUCAUAUGUGCAUCACACAUAGUAGCAUGCUACGUGACAGCACAGGCACAAGCACACCCCCACCUCUACAGGCCAUGAUAAGGCACUCCUCCCCAACCUUUGCCUAAUAAAAGACCCACAGUCCCGCUCCCUAACGAGCUGGGCACCUGCCCCUUUCCUUUCCUCACCGGCUCCCUUGUGCCUCUCUUAGGCACAAGCUAAUAAACUUUUACUUUUCUGCUCCUGUUUGUUGUCUCCCUUGAUUUCCAUCCUGGGGGACAAUAAGAACCCAAUGUGCUGGUAACACAUAGACUUGCAAUCACUUGUUCUGCUUUCAAACCCAUUCAGCAUUUCUGCCUUUGGGGGCACCUGGCAUCCUCAAUUCCUGAGACUUCCUGGGAAUUCGGAGGCAUGAACGGGUUUGCUUCUGGUUGACUCUUCCUCCCUUACCCCUUUUCCCUCCCCUCCUUGGGUUUUCAUUUUCAAAAUAUUGUGCCUGUCUAUAAUCUGUUGUCGUCUCCUUUUCCCUUUUCUUUGCUCCUGUGGGUUCAUGUUUUAUUUUUUCUUUUAAUUUUCACUGUCAUUUUAGAGGCCAAUUUUGUGUAAAAUCUUUUCUGUUUACUGGAAGUCUAUCCAUUUAUUCUUUUUUCCAGAGCACUUCUGAAUGUUUCUUGACCCCAACAGGUAUUCGAUACAAAUCGAAGCAGUUAUAAUGUGAUAAAAUGGCUUCCCUGACCCAAGGGGAGAAAAGGCAGGGAUUAAAAUUACCCUGCGUGAAGAUUUCUGAAAACAACAGAUUAUGCAAUAUUUAUCCAGAUUUCUUCCUCUGCAUUCAUUCAAAACCCAAUGAGCACUCGGCUCAGAUUGAGGUGCUGGGACGUGGACAAAAUGAUUAUGAAUCUCAGAGCCUCUCCUGUUCAGGAUUCCAAAUGGAGCUGAUGUGAAGGAUACACUGUAGUGUAUUGGUAAAAGAAUAUGAAUUCCUGUGUCAACUGACUUGUCUUCAAAUCCCACUUCAAGGACUGGACCAGCAAUGCUUAGGGAAAUGCAAGUAAAAAUGCUGGGUUUUUUCCUUUAGCGUAUUGGCAAAAAGUCAAAUAUUGGUGUAAUACACACUUGUUUUUUUCCUGCCCUGCAUCAGUUCCUUCUGUUCCAUGGCAACAAUAUCACGUACAUUUUGCGUCAAGUCCUAUCUGAAUCCACAUCUACUAUUGGACUGCUCAGUUAUAUGAGCCAAUAACUUCCCAUUUUAGUUUAAACCACUUUGGGUCAGUUACCUAUUACUUGAAACUGAAUUGCAACUCUCACAACUGGUAAUUUCCCUUUCCUGGGAAGGUAUGAGGAAGGUUUCAGCCAGGCACCUGGUGGCAGACCCCUUCACGCAACACCAGUUGCAUCAGUAGGAUCUAUCGCUUUUUUCAGGAAGCCUCUUGUACUAAGUCUUUUGCAGAGACUGUGGAGGGCCCCCACAUUGAAGGCUGUCUGAUGAAUGGGACUCAAUGUAGGGCGAGAGUAGAUCUGAGCAGUGCGAGAGAUGUACUGUAUCAGACACAUUGUGUGUGCCGCUUCACAUCGCAUCUUCUCAGCCAGCAUUUGACUCCAGCCACUGUUGUAGCAACGAGCUUUGUGCAAAUAUAUUCUGACAGUGCCUCACUUCAUCUGCAUUAUGGUUUCCUGCACUGGGAAUUCUCUAAUGCUGUGCUGUGAGAUGGCUGUGGAAACCCACUCAGGCAUGCGCAACCUAAAAGGGCAGGGAGUUAAAGCCCAAUGGGGCAUCCCUUUCUAAUGGGGGAUGAGAGCUGGUGGAUAAAUGAGGCAUAUUCUCCAUGGCUCCUCAGAAGGUCUUAGUGGGUCAUGCCCUAGUAACACAGCAGUGACCAACUUGAUAAUAUACUCUUGUAUUGCCCUUCCCUCUUGGCCUCACUUUCCUGGAUCAUUUCCCAAAUAAACUGCUUGCAUGCAAGCCCUUGUCUCAGGCUCUAUUUCUGAAGCAGAAGCCAGAAUCAUCACAAUUCUAAUGAGAUCCCCAAAUUCAUUCCAAGUUUCCUCAAGUCUCACCUGCAUAAAUAGGAACAAUAGAGCUUAGAGUGGGUCAUAACCAAAAUAUCUUGGCUAUUGCUCCAAACUGCAUGAGUCUGCAAACACUGAUCUCAAAUUCUUCCUCUCUGGCUUACGCAGUUAACAUC
rnacentral:lncRNA from 1 species